CAAUAGCGUAUAUUAAAGUUGUUGCAGUUAAAAAGCUCGUAGUUGAACCUUGGGUCUGGCUGGCCGGUCCGCCUCACCGCGAGUACUGGUCCGGCUGGACCUUUCCUUCUGGGGAACCUCAUGGCCUUCACCGGCUGCCUGAGAUGCUCGACACGUUUACUUUGAACAAAUUAGAGUGCUCAAAGCAAGCCUAGUGCUUGAAUAUUCGAUGCAUGGAAUAAUGGAAUAGGACUUCGUUUCUAUUUUGUUGGUUUUCGGUCACGAAGUAAUGAUUAAAAGAGACGGACGAGGGCAUCUGUAUGGCGGUGUUAGAGGUGAAAUUCGAUGAUCGCCGCCAGACAGCCAACAGCGAAAGCAUUUGCCAAGGAUGUUUUCAUUAAUCAAGAACGAAAGUCAGAGGUU
rnacentral:rRNA from 1 species